AACGAACGCUGGCGGCAGGCUUAACACAUGCAAGUCGAGCGCGUAGCAAUACGAGCGGCAGACGGGUGAGUAACGCGUGGGAAUCUACCCAACCCUACGGAAUAACGCAUGGAAACGUGUGCUAAUACCGUAUACGCCCUUCGGGGAAAGAUUAUCGGGAGUGGAUGAGCCCGCGUUGGAUUAGCUAGUUGGUGGGGUAAAGGCCUACCAAGGCGACGAUCCAUAGCUGGUCUGAGAGGAUGAUCAGCCACAUUGGGACUGAGACACGGCCCAAACUCCUACGGGAGGCAGCAGUGGGGGAAUAUUGGACAAUGGGCGCAAGCCUGAUCCAGCCAUGCCGCGUGAGUGA
rnacentral:rRNA from 1 species